rnacentral:rRNA from 1 species
CCUACGGGAGGCAGCAGUGAGGAAUAUUGGUCAAUGGACGAGAGUCUGAACCAGCCAAGUAGCGUGAAGGAUGACUGCCCUAUGGGUUGUAAACUUCUUUUAUAUGGGAAUAAAAUGUUCCACGUGUGUGAUUUUGUAUGUACCAUAUGAAUAAGGAUCGGCUAACUCCGUGCCAGCAGCCGCGGUAAUACAGAGGAUCCGAGCGUUAUCCGGAUUUAUUGGGUUUAAAGGGAGCGUAGGUGGAUUGAUAAGUCAGUUGUGAAAGUUUGCGGCUCAACCGUAAAAUUGCAGUUGAAACGGGCAGUCUUGAGUACAGUAGAGGUGGGCGGAAUUCGUGGUGUAGCGGUGAAAUGCUUAGAUAUCACGAAGAACUCCGAUUGCGAAGGCAGUUCACUGGACUGCAACUGACACUGAGGCUCGAAAGUGUGGGUAUCAAACAGGAUUAGAUACCCUUGUAGUC